rnacentral:rRNA from 1 species
GGGUGACUGCGUACCUUUUGUAUAAUGGGUCAGCGACUUAUAUUCUGUAGCAAGGUUAACCGAAUAGGGGAGCCGUAGGGAAACCGAGUCUUAACUGGGCGAAUGAGUUGCAGGGUAUAGACCCGAAACCCGGUGAUCUAGCCAUGGGCAGGUUGAAGGUUGGGUAACACUAACUGGAGGACCGAACCGACUAAUGUUGAAAAAUUAGCGGAUGACUUGUGGCUGGGGGUGAAAGGCCAAUCAAACCGGGAGAUAGCUGGUUCUCCCCGAAAGCUAUUUAGGUAGCGCCUCGUGAACUCAUCUUCGGGGGUAGAGCACUGUUUCGGCUAGGGGGUCAUCCCGACUUACCAACCCGAUGCAAACUACGAAUACCGAAGAAUGUUAUCACGGGAGACACACGGCGGGUGCUAACGUUCGUCGUGAAGAGGGAAACAACCCAGACCGCCAGCUAAGGUCCCAAAGUCAUGGUUAAGUGGGAAACGAAGUGGGAAGGCUCAGACAGCCAGGAUGUUGGCUUAGAAGCAGCCAUCAUUUAAAGAAAGCGUAAUAGCUCACUGGUCGAGUCGGCCUGCGCGGAAGAUGUAACGGGGCUAAACCAUGCACCGAAGCUGCGGCAGCGACAUGUAAAUGUUGUUGGGUAGGGGAGCGUUCUGUAAGCCUGUGAAGGUGUGCUGCGAGGCAUGCUGGAGGUAUCAGAAGUGCGAAUGCUGACAUAAGUAACGAUAAUGCGGGUGAAAAACCCGCACGCCGGAAGACCAAGGGUUCCUGUCCAACGUUAAUCGGGGCAGGGUGAGUCGACCCCUAAGGCGAGGCAGAAAUGCGUAGUCGAUGGGAAACAGGUUAAUAUUCCUGUACUGGUGAUAAUUGCGAUGGGGGGACGGAGAAGGCUAGGCUGGCCGGGCGACGGUUGUCCCGGUUUAAGGAUGUAGGUGGGUGAAUUAGGCAAAUCCGGUUCGCUAUACACUGAGGUCUGAUGACGAGUCACUACGGUGGCGAAGUAGCUCAUGCCCCGCUUCCAGGAAAAGCCUCUAAGCUCUAGAUUAUCAUUAAUCGUACCCCAAACCGACACAGGUGGUCAGGUAGAGAAUACUCAGGCGCUUGAGAGAACUCGGGUGAAGGAACUAGGCAAAAUGGUGCCGUAACUUCGGGAGAAGGCACGCUGGCAUUAGGUGAAGUGGUUUACCCAUGGAGCUGAAGCCAGUCGCAGAUACCAGCUGGCUGCAACUGUUUAUUAAAAACACAGCACUGUGCAAACACGAAAGUGGACGUAUACGGUGUGACGCCUGCCCGGUGCUGGAAGGUUAAUUGAUGGGGUUAUCCGUAAGGAGAAGCUCUUGAUCGAAGCCCCAGUAAACGGCGGCCGUAACUAUAACGGUCCUAAGGUAGCGAAAUUCCUUGUCGGGUAAGUUCCGACCUGCACGAAUGGCGUAAUGAUGGCCAGGCUGUCUCCACCCGAGACUCAGUGAAAUUGAACUCGCUGUGAAGAUGCAGUGUACCCGCGGCAAGACGGAAAGACCCCGUGAACCUUUACUAUAGCUUGACACUGAACAUUGAGCCUUGAUGUGUAGGAUAGGUGGGAGGCUUUGAAGUGUGGACGCCAGUCUGCAUGGAGCCAACCUUGAAAUACCACCCUUUAAUGUUUGAUGUUCUAACGUAGCCCCAUAAUCUGGGGUGCGGACAGUGUCUGGUGGGUAGUUUGACUGGGGCGGUCUCCUCCCAAAGCGUAACGGAGGAGCACGAAGGUUGGCUAAGCAUGGUCGGACAUCAUGCGGUUAGUGCAAAGGCAUAAGCCAGCUUGACUGCGAGAGUGACGGCUCGAGCAGGUACGAAAGUAGGUCUUAGUGAUCCGGUGGUUCUGAAUGGAAGGGCCAUCGCUCAACGGAUAAAAGGUACUCCGGGGAUAACAGGCUGAUACCGCCCAAGAGUUCAUAUCGACGGCGGUGUUUGGCACCUCGAUGUCGGCUCAUCACAUCCUGGGGCUGAAGUAGGUCCCAAGGGUAUGGCUGUUCGCCAUUUAAAGUGGUACGCGAGCUGGGUUUAGAACGUCGUGAGACAGUUCGGUCCCUAUCUGCCGUGGGCGUUGGAAGAUUGAAAGGGGCUGCUCCUAGUACGAGAGGACCGGAGUGGACGCACCGCUGGUGUUCGGGUUGUCAUGCCAAUGGCACUGCCCGGUAGCUAAGUGCGGAAGAGAUAACCGCUGAAAGCAUCUAAGCGGGAAACUUGCCUUGAGAUGAGUCUUCCCUGACUCUUUAAGGGUCCUAAAGGAACGUUUAAGACGAAGACGUUGAUAGGCUGGGUGUGUAAGCGUAGCGAUACGUUGAGCUAACCAGUACUAAUGAACCGUGAGGCUUAACCUGACAACACCGAAGGUGUUUUAG